rnacentral:rRNA from 1 species
UACGUAGGGUGCGAGCGUUAAUCGGAAUUACUGGGCGUAAAGCGUGCGCAGGCGGUGAUGUAAGACAGAUGUGAAAUCCCCGGGCUCAACCUGGGAACUGCAUUUGUGACUGCAUCGCUGGAGUGCGGCAGAGGAGACUAGAAUUCCUGGUGUAGCAGUGAAAUGCGUAGAUAUCAGGAGGAAUACCGAUGGCGAAGGCAGGUCUCUGGGCUGACACUGACGCUCAUGCACGAAAGCGUGGGGAGCAAACAGG